UUUAAUUUCUGAUACUUUUAUGUGCAUCUUCUCUGGCGUAUUCCUUUUUGAAAAUAACACAAGAAGUUUCCAUUGCUGCAGCUUCUGGAUGCUCAAUUUUUGGUCUAACAAGAACAGCAUUCACUCUAGCAGAACAUAUUUGUACUUUUGAGUUAUGAUAUAAAGAAGCUUGAAUUUGCUGAAUAUGUUAUUUUUCAUUGUAAACACAAUUUUUCCCUUGUGGCACGUACUCUGCAUUUUUAAGUGUGGGAAGCUGAUUCCAUCUUUCCCCUUUACCUAUAAUUUUAUUUUUGGUCCUGAAUCUAAGAUGACCAUGAAGCUGGCCAAUUUGCUGUAAUUCUUUUUCCUUGUUCAUCGUAAAUUAUUUGCAAUUUCCUUUCAAUUGUUACAGUCGUUACACACAUUCAAGUCACGUUCCUACCAUUGUCUUUGCAGCUAUUGUGAGCAUUAGAUAUCCUUUUAUCCUUCUUAGAUUUUUUAUUAGAUGCCAGUAAAAGGAACCUUGUGUUUAUGGAAUUCUGUUGUCGCUCUUCAUAUGCAGUUCUAUUUAACUACCACCGUAAUUUUAUUUUGAUAUAGUAUGAUGAUGCUUUGUAUGUGUUUUGAACAGUUCCUUAUUUAGAAUGCUAACUGCAAGCUUACACUACAGUUUUGCAGUGUCAUGUUUUACCCAUCGGAACUGAAUUUACAUUGUUCUCGUGAUUUAUUCGACGUUGAUUUGAUUGAAGUUAAUAUUUUGCCAUGUUUCCGGCCGAGCCUAUGAAUGGAACUAACGAGUCCACUCUCAGGGUUGCACUUGACCAUGGAAAGACCUCAGGAGCUAUCAAGUUACACGACCGAAAUGUGGUCUGCCAAAAAUUUGGAGAUGAAUCUGUUAAGAUUAUCGAGCUUGAAGAUUAGAAUGCCAAGGCUGUUUUUGUUAUAUUUAAUUAUUGCCUCAUUUUAUUUUAUUUUAUUUUAUUUUUGGUGGCAUUCGAUGGACCAAUCCCAGUGACCAUCAAUGUGGCAUUUGAACCAAGUGGUCUUGGAAAAUAUCUCAUAAUAGCAUCACAUGUAUAUUGGGUCAUUCCUUUUAAUGGGAAUUGAAAAAUUCUGCAUGUAGGGAAUUGAAAAAUUCUGCAUGUACAGAAUUUUAACAUAUAGAACAAAACCAGAAAUCUCAUAUGGGGUGGGACCCAUGUGAGUUUUAUAUUCAAAAAAUUAAACCACUCACACCAAGUGCUGCGAGUAGUCUGUAAGGUUUUUGACAAAUCAUUUUCUGUACAUGUAGUGUCUCAUGGGAAUAUGUCCCCAAUUUUGUCGGUGAAGAACAGUUUUGCUGUGAUAUUAAGGGAGAUGCAGUCUUAAUAUUGGAAGUUCCUGUGGGUGAAUAAUUUUGCUAUCCCUUUUGGAGCAAUUAAGUACUAAUUAACUGUACAAUAUGUGUUCUUAGUUGUUUUUGGUUUGAUAAGAUCAAGACUCACUCUAUCAGAACAUAUUGCACUUAGGAAUUUUGAUGUGGAUGCUUCAUAUUUAAUGAUGAAAGUUUGUGUAGGCCAAUGUUGUGACAUAUUUGACAUAGAAGGCUAGUUAUUUAAUUAUUGAUGUUAUAUUGAUAAAAAAUAAAAAGUGAAAUUUGUAUUUAAAAUUUGCAUAGUAUCUGUUAUAUGAAUAAUUUAUACUGAUUUGAGUUUUUACCUUUUUCGAUUAAAUGCCUGAAUCAAGUUUGAAAGGACGAGUAAUACUUAAUCGAAUUGAGUGUACACAUCUGAUCUUAACAUGCACCCUCUUUUGGUCAUAAAAUUGCUCGAGCAAUUCUUGGACGCUUGAUAAAUAUGAAGUUUACUUUAAAAUACAACCAAUGUCCGAUAAUACUCCGUCGGCCAUUAGCUUUGCCACAUAAAAAACCAAACCGAAGGAGGCAAAUAAAUCAAAUUUUCUUUGUUAUGUGCUUUCACAUUACCCUUCAUUUUCUUUUGGAGAUAUAGAUCAUACCGUUAAAGGAUUGUAUCUUGUUCAAUACACGUCACCAGCUAAAACUACUAAACUUGUCUCAAAAGAACAAAUAAAUUAGACUCCCUAGCAUUCAUUUGCACGUUAAUAGGAUCUAGAAAAAAUAAAAUAAAAUCAAUGUUACUAUACAAAAAGAAAUUUUAAUUACGCAUUUUAUUUCAAUUAAUAUCUAAUAUCAUUAUUCUCAAGAACUUCUAGAAGAUUCCAUCAACUCUUUUGAUGAUAAUAAUAUCUAUUUAGUGACAUGAUAUGUUUGAAUCUAGAAAUAGGUAAUCUUUCUAGACAUUGAGAAGAAAUAUAAAGUUUUCUAAAUUCUUCUUCGCAGUUUGAAGCGCAUGCCCCUUUUAUAUUAUUGGCACUGAUAGGGCAAAUCUGCGUCACAAAAUUCUCCUAGAACCCUACAAUCUGCAAAUAAUUUUUUUUUUUAAGAACCAACCAUAAAAUAAUUAAAAAGUUGAACUAAAAAGAGAGACUAUAUUAAAAAGCAUGAAACGGUUUGAACAUGUAGUGAAAAAGUAAAAAACAAGUCGAAUACAUGGCUAUAUACAAAAGUUAAGAAACAAGUUGAAUUUCAAAAAAUGACAAGAAUUUGUCAUUCAUGAUAAUUUCUUUAUAAGUUUUCUUCCGAAGGUGAAAUGUUAAUUUUACAAGUUGAAUUCAUAUGCUUGAAUUGACUAUCGGAAUCUAUCUAAAUACUUGGCCGAAGUUGAUGCAAAAUCAACAUUUAUAAAUCUAAUUCCAACAUAUAUUAUAUUGAGAUGUGAAAUCCUUGAGUCCUUAAAAUUAAAAAAAAUCGUUACUAAAUUUAGAGGGUGUUUGAGCCUCAUUUUUAUGAAAAAAAAAGUUUUAGAAUAAUAGACUGAUGGAGAAUGUGUCGAUGAAAAAUGAGGAAUUUUUUUUUAUUUACGUGUAAUAUUAUUUUAAUGAAAAAUGUGUGGUUAAAAAAAAGAGAGGAAAAUGUAUUUUAGAGAAUGAGAAUCAAACAAAUCCUUAUUUGGAUAAUCUGGUUUGUAAUUAUCAUUGUGAAAAUUCCCAAUAUAAAUUGAAAACCCUAGAGAAAACUAGGAAUUGAAAGAACAAUUUUAUUAUAACCUAGCAUUGACUUAAUGGGUUGUGCUGUGUGUACACAUGGUGUACACACAGGCUUACACCCCCCCUUCAUGUGAGGGGGGGUGUAAGGUUGUGUGUACACCAUAAGUAUUUUCCUUGACUUAAUAUAUAAUCAAUAUCUAUAAUUUAUAGUCUAUGUCUAUAAUCUAUAUUUAUCUAAUAUAUAUUAAAAUUUAUUUUUCUAUAAUCUAUAUUAUGUAUGCUCUUACUUAUUCACAUUUUUAAAUACAAUUAGAAUUAUAAAAAAUAGAUUGUUGUAGAUUCGAACAGAACAUUUUACUAUCCCUUAAUUUUGAAGAACUCUAACAUGGAGGAAGACCACGACAUAAAAUAAGUUUGUUUUAUAAUGAUCUCCAUAUUGUUUUAUAAUGAUCUCCAUGAUAUUUUAUAAUAUGGUUAAACUCAAGUCUUAACAUAAAAUUUUCUUCUUUCUUGUUUAAUAGAAAGUGAACGGAAUUUUAUCAUAAAUUCGAUCGGUUUUGGUCACUUUCUGAUUUUUCUGUGGCACUGUCAGCCCAAUUUUGCUUCUAAAAGUUGAUGGUUUUAUAGAUAAUAUAGUUGCUCAUAAAUUUGAUGAAAUUUAUUUGACUUAAAAAUUGUAAUAAAAAUUUAAGCAUGAAUUAAAAACACCCAUCAAUAUAACGUAAUAAGAACUUAUUUCAAAAGCCGCCAACAAAUAAGGAAAUUCUCACUAUAUAAUAAGAUAUAUUAAUUUAAGAUAAUCGAAAAAUCACGAAGCUGGAGUAGCUCAGCUGGUUAGAGCGUGUGGCUGUUAACCACAAGGUCGAAGGUUCAAGCCCUUCCUCUAGCGAUAUCCCUUUUUUUCUUUCUCUUAGCAAGAACACAAUUACGGAAAGGGAGAAUUGCACCUGGGGCCCCAAACCUUUCAAAUUAUUGUAGACUAAUACACAAAUCUUUCAUUUUUACACCCACAGUCCAAACAUUUCAUUUCGAUUCCUACUUUGUCAGAAAAAAUGUAUUCAUUUAUCGAAUUGUGUCACGUUUUACUUCCCAUUUCAGUUUCCGUGCAAAGACCUGUAGAUCCAUAGCAUAUGAAUUUGAUAGAACUUGAAUUUUCUUCCACGCAUUUAUCCUCGAAUGAAAUCAAAUGAUACAAUUGACUCAUCAUUGUUCGAGUUAUGUAAUCUCUCAAGUGUGUAUUUGUCAACUUGUGUAUAUUGUGACACUUAUAGAAUGCCAAAUUGGAGAAAUCAAACUCUCUGAGUUAUUUACAUUGACGUGAACACUUAACUUCUCUUCUGAAGACUCAAAUUGAUGCUGCUAUGAGUUUGUAUCCUUGUCAUCGAAAGGAAAAGCAAAAAGGAAGAAGAAAUUUGUAAAAAAUAGCAAUUUCAGAUAAAUAUGAAGAAUAAGGAAUUUCUUCGAAAUCUUAUAUUCCAGUUUAAAUCUAAACCGUAGCAAGAAAAAAAGUUACAAAAGAACAAAGAGAGAAGUAGGACAUCUAAUGGGCAGUAGAGUUUGUAAGAUCUAGCUCCAGAAAACAGUAGUGUUCAACACAAAAACAGCCAUAUUUGCCAGAAGGAAGAUCUGAAUAACAAACAAAGCAGCAAAGCAGAGUAAUAUCCUAUUCUUCCUGCAGCCACCAAACACGGCUUUAUCAAUAUUGAUCGCUGCUAUUCUUCAUCAGGCAAUGCAUCAUCCAGACCUCGUUGUGCAAUUCUGUAAUACAGAAUACCCAUUGUUGCCAUGCAAGCCCUGCACAAGAAAAGGAGGAAAGAUGUUAAGUCGACUUGAUGUUCAUAAAAGAAUUGAAUGAGAAAAAAAGAGCAACUGUAACUGCAACAUUCAAUCUCUAUUCUGGAAUCUCCAUGACAUUUUGUUGUUCAACUAUAAAAUUUGAUCAAGUCACCACCAGCAUUCAGUGAUAGACAUCAUAUUGCAAUCAAAUUCUUAUUUCGUUCAGGAUAGAUCCUUUAUACAGCAAGCCAAUUGCACAUAAGCAUGCAAAGAAGAAAUAAAAAAGAAAAACAGCCAAGGGAAAACAAAGGCAUAGAUUACAUUAUAGCUAUAAUUAGGAGGAGUUUCCUUGGAUCCAUCCUUGAAGAUCUAUGAUGUCUUGUGCGACCUUCAGGUACUUCAUCUGCAUUCGAUGUAUCUUUUCGCGGUGGUGCAGUCACUGGUAGAGUCGGCAAUGCGCUAGACCAGAAAGGUAGCAAUGACCUGAGAAUCUUAUGGCGGAAUGUACCUGCAAUCAAGAUCAGCAAGUUCAUUUUACAAAGUUGUUAAAGAAAAAAAAAAAAGAAAAAAAAAAUCAUGAAAUAGCAUCUAUAGUACAAAAAAGGCAAUCAUAACAAAAUCAAUUUUCUAAGAUGAAAUUUAAAAAAUAUGAGAAGCGAACUUAGAUAUUACACUGGCUGAACAUAGAGUUUGAGAACUGUUUAUAAGGUUGCAUAUGCAAAUCAAGGUUGGACGACAUUUAUCCCAAUUUUGGGCAGUGAAUUGGGCUUAUCUAACAUGUCAUUUAGUGUCCUAUUUUCCAUACAAUAAGCCGUUCAAGCCUGGGGCAUACAACACUUGAUAUCAGAUGCUAUUAUCCCCAGAACGCAAUGGGCCAUGAGAACCAAGCUAUUCCUCUCCAUAUCACGGAUGGCAUUCAUGUAUGUCACAGUGAGAGUGAAAAAUGAUUGGGCAUUUACUCUAAGGUUUAAUUUAUAACCCAAAAAUUGGAUAGCAAACAUCAUCAAAAGAUCACAGAAUGAAUGACCUUCACCCACCUCUUCGAGUGUACUUCUUCUGGUUCCCAUCUUCAUCAUCUGCAUAAUAUAAAGCCUCAGAAUUUUGCCUCUCAACUUGGACAGCAUUUUUUCGUGUCAUGGCAACAGGCUGUGUGCAAAUAGAUCAGAAAACUAUACGCAGAAACACACCACGUAGCAUAUAGAGGCGAACAUAGUUAAAAUAAAAAAUAGAAAAAAUAAAGGAUUAUUCUUACAGCAGUAGGACUUGUGUUUUUCAUGAAACUGUGCUCAUGAUUAGACAGUGAUGACGUUGCUGAGGCAGGCCCAUCUAUCUCCACAAUCUCCAAAUGUGCAGGAUUUGUAGAACCAGUCCUGGUAGAAGCCACAUCUUUUCCAUCAGCAGAGGCAUGCAUCAGUGGAUCUGAAGCAAACGCAGGUGGAGGACUUCCAGGGCUUGUAGUAUUCUUUGCUCUGCCGAGGAAACACUUGGGGAUUCUGGUAUGGGUAUCUUGUUCGGUUUCCAAAGAUGGUUUCUGUCCCUUAGAGCAAAGCUCCUGGCAACUGUAGUAGAUAUAAUGAAGUUAUUGAAUACGAUUUCACUUGUUCAAUAUAGCAGUAGCCCCUCAGGAAAAGGGGAGGGAACAGAUCCAGUUUCAGGCUUGAGUUUCUUACAAAGACUCAGCUCCUUGGUUGAUUCUUUCACGGAGGUCUCUCGCCGGAUGAACAAAUUAACUAGAGAAUUUGAUUUAUUUGUAGCAUCUUUCAUUGGCAUGGACAGACAAAGUGUUAUUAUUGUUUCGGCACUUGCAUUGAGUUGUUCAUUGAUGGCCUUCAGUGCUGGUUUUGUCUAUCUCAUCCCAAACCUGCAGUAUUCAGAGAAUUUUAGAACUUCCAACUCUGAAUACCUUGAGGAGUCUUUCCAUGCUAUGCUACUAGAAGAUGUAGUCGGGAGGUUGAGGCAAAUAGAGGGCUCAACCAGGAAUAGUAUCCUGUUUCUUAUGAAGUCUUUUGGAAAGUCCAAGAGCUGUUUUUCGCCACAAUUGAGAAAUCAGAUUUCAGAGAGUUAUGAAACAAGAGUCAUGCUCAAACUCUGUGAUUAUGCCAUUAUGAGGAUUGUUGCCUUACAAAAUGAGGCAGGCCAGAUUCAAGGGGGUGAAGGCAUGUCUCAAACUAUAAAUGAUGGUUCACAGCUUUUAUUGAACAUCAUUUCACAAUGUAUUUUGAUGCCGUUCCGGACUCCCAAGCACUUUUUUAAAGUAAGGUAUGUUGAAUAAAGCCAUUUAUAUAGAUUUGAAGCCCUGAUGUAUCCUUUCGAAAAAAAGAAACCCUGAUGUAUCAUGUUUUUCUUCUUGAAAAUGUUCUUCCUACACAUUUUAGGAUAAAGCAUUAAUGUCACUUAUAUCCUUUUAAGUGUCAAUUUUGUAUACUUCCUACAAUUUAGGUGGCCAAAAUCCACGUUCUCAUUGUUAUAAGCGGCAAAUUUUAUGAUGACUCUGACCAUGAAUUUUUAUUUCUAUGGCUUGUGGCUCACAUGUAGACUUUAGUGCAUUUCAUCGAGUGUCCUAACUUCAAACUGAAUGUUAAUGUUCUGGAUUACCGGCUUUUGAUAUUAUUCUAAUAUUUGAAUCUGUCUUUAUUCUUAGGCCUAGUGUUACCUCUGAGCUUUUCAUGAUGAAUGAAGAUGGUAAACAUGUGGAUCGGGUAUCUGUUUUUUCAGGUUCCCCCAUCUCACUGACUUUAUGCCUUCAAUUGAGAAACAUGCCAGCAGGUCAACCUUUUCGGCUUACCAAAUUGUUGUGCAUUCUUAGUUGUAGAUCAUCUUCUCAGAUGAAAACAGAAACGGGAGAGAAUAAAGGGGAAAAACACUUGGGUAGCCAAGAUGGGGGAAUUGAUGAUUUGUUGGACUUGAACGAACAGCUAGUGGGCUAUGUUACUGGAUCUACAAGGAGAUGUAGAAUGCAUCACAGAGAUAACACCGGUGAUUUUAUGGUGAAUCAGUAUGUGCAUUUUGAACUGAACACACGAGGCCAAGGGUUCUCUACUUGCUUGUUCGAUGUUUCUUCUUUUCCACUGGGUUCUUAUAGAAUCAAAUGGCAUAGCUGUUGUAUCGACAGUGAAGGUUCUUAUUGGAGCCUGCUUCCUCUGAAUGCUGGCCCUGUGAUCACCAUACAGGAUUGUAAAAGUGGCUGCUGAUUCUGCUGAAGUUUGAUAGAUCUUAUAAACUGUCCUAAUUCAAAGAGAAGGAACUAUCACGAUCAUUAAUUUUAUGUAAGUUACCAUAUUUAAUUUCUGAUACUUUUAUGUGCAUCUUCUCUGGCGUAUUCCUUUUUGAAAAUAACACAAGAAGUUUCCAUUGCUGCAGCUUCUGGAUGCUCAAUUUUUGGUCUAACAAGAACAGCAUUCACUCUAGCAGAACAUAUUUGUACUUUUGAGUUAUGAUAUAAAGAAGCUUGAAUUUGCUGAAUAUGUUAUUUUUCAUUGUAAACACAAUUUUUCCCUUGUGGCACGUACUCUGCAUUUUUAAGUGUGGGAAGCUGAUUCCAUCUUUCCCCUUUACCUAUAAUUUUAUUUUUGGUCCUGAAUCUAAGAUGACCAUGAAGCUGGCCAAUUUGCUGUAAUUCUUUUUCCUUGUUCAUCGUAAAUUAUUUGCAAUUUCCUUUCAAUUGUUACAGUCGUUACACACAUUCAAGUCACGUUCCUACCAUUGUCUUUGCAGCUAUUGUGAGCAUUAGAUAUCCUUUUAUCCUUCUUAGAUUUUUUAUUAGAUGCAAGUAAAAGGAACCUUGUGUUUAUGGAAUUCUGUUGUCGCUCUUCAUAUGCAGUUCUAUUUAACUACCACCGUAAUUUUAUUUUGAUAUAGUAUGAUGAUGCUUUGUAUGUGUUUUGAAC
rnacentral:lncRNA from 1 species